GUCUAUGGUCAUACCACCCUGAAUGCGCCCAAUUUAGUCUGAUCUCAGAACUAAGCAGGGUCGGGCCUGAUAAGUACUUAGAUGGGAGACACAACUUUAUGAUGUACAUUCCAUACAUG
rnacentral:rRNA from 1 species